rnacentral:rRNA from 1 species
UACGAAGGGUGCAAGCGUUACUCGGAAUUGACUGGGCGAUAAAGCGUGCGUAGGUGGUGAGUUAAGUCUGUCGAUGAAAGCCCCGGGCUCAACCUCGGGGAUGGCGAUGGAUACUGGCUCGGCUAGAGUGCGGUAGAGGGAGAGUGGAAUUCCUGGUGUAGCAGUAGAAAUGCGUAGAUAUCAGGAGGAAUACCGAUGGCGAAGGCAGGUCUCUGGGCUAUAACUGACGCUCAUGCACGAAAGCG